ensembl:lncRNA
UUUUUUUUUCUUUUUUACAAAUAGUUGUAAUUUAAAAAUAUUUAUAAAUAAAAGUUUAACUUAAUUUUUUGGUAAAAAUUGGUUUUUUUUUUAUGAUAUGUAUAAAUAUAUAUAUAAGGUUAGUGUUAAGUAAAAAUAAGGUUUAUGGAAAAAUUUUUUAAAAAUAAAUCUAAACUUUAAAAUAAUUGUUUUUUUUUUAGAACAAAAAUGGAAUUAUAUAUUUAAUAUGUGACAUGUUUUUAAAAUUGUAAAAUUUUUUUAUAACAUGAAUAAAAAAAUUUAAUAACAUAUAUUUAUAUAUAUAUAUAUAUAUAUAUAUAUAUAGAUAGUAUUUUAUUUUAAUAUUAUAACAUGUUUUAUUUUUAAAAUGUUAUAAAUUUACUACUUCUUAUUUUGCUUAUUAUUUUAUGGUAAAAAAAAAAAUAUAUAUAAAAUUAGCAUAAAAACUUUAAAAAACGAAAAAUAUAAAUCUAUUAUUAAAUCUAAAAAAAAAUAGUAUAUACUAUCUUCUUUAAAAAAAAAAAAUAAAUAAAUAAAAAUAGAUUUGUUUUUAAAAAAAUAGAAAUUAAAAAAAAAUUUACUUAUGAUUGUUGUUUAAAACAUUGCACUAUUAAUUUGUUGUUGUUCUCAUAUACAUAAAAAUAUAUAGUUUCAAAGAAGAAAAAAUAAAACUUCAUUUUAUUUUUACAUAUUAUAACAAUAAUCAUGUCUGUCAAAUUACAAACGUUUUUCCUUUUGUCCAUAAUAUAUAUAGUAUUGUUGAAAUAUGUGAAGUAUGGUAACAAUGUAAACAACAGUUUUAAUUUAUGCAGUGGAAGAAAACUGUUGGAAAAUGAUGUUCAGAAUGCUGAAAACACGGUUAAAGUGCAAACUAAUUUACAACAUGAUGUUGUGGAUGAUUUAGAUGUUGCAGGAAUUAUAAAGCAAGUAACAAAUGUGCGAAAGACAUUAUUAGAUUAUGCAUAUAACAAAUGGCAAAAUAUUAUGUAUCAUGUAGUUAAUAUUAUGGUACAAUUUUGUAUUUCCGGAAUUGAUUCUGAGAAGUUGUUAAUUGAAUUUUAUACGACAUGUAACGUAAUGGAUUUACAUCGACAACAUGAAAUUAAUAAAAUUAAUGCAAUAUUUGAACAAUAUUUAAGUUUAAUAGAUCUGAAGAAGUCGCAUUUUUUUGUUGGUACAUUAAGUCAUGAAGAAAAAGGAUUAUUAAGAGAGUUAGAAAUGACAGCUAAGAGAAUGUUAAUGGAAUGGUAUGGUUUUCAGAUUGAUUUUUGGAAUAUCUGGUUUAAAAAACAAUUUGCAAUUUAUAAUAUACAAGAUGCAGAUUCGUAAAGCAGUGUAAUGUUUAUGUAUUAUAUUAUAUAUAUAUAUAUAUAUAUAUAUAUAUAUAUAUAUAUAUAUAUAUAUAUAUAUAUAUAUAUAUAUGUGCGCGUGUAUUUGAAUAUAAUACACAUCAUAAUUACACUCUAUUUUAUUUUUUUUUUAAUCCUUUUUAACGUAUAUUUUUAUUUAUUAAAUUUAUAUAUUUAUUGUUUUUAAUCAUGUUGCAAUUCUGAAUGAUUGGUGUGAAACUAUGUUUUUACAUAUGUAUAUUUUUAAACAUGUCAGUUUGUUUUAUAUUUGAUAGAUAUAUUGAAAACUGUUUAUUUUCUUUUUAUUAUUAUCAAUUUAUUUUAAAUAAUGUUUUUUUUAAUGAUUUACUACAGUGAAAUAAAUAUAAAUAUUUGAAUUACUUGUUAAUUUGU